UUACGAGUUAUACAAAACUCCAACCCUUUGUGAACCUACCUAAGUUGCCUCGGCGUGUGCUGCGGUUACCCUGUAGUUACCCUGUAGACGUUUACCCUAUAGGUGUCUACCCUGUAACUACCCCGUAAUCGGUCAACGGCCCGCCGAAGGACCACUAAACUCUGUUUUUACCCAGGUGUAUCUCUGAAUGCUUCAACUAAAUAAGUUAAAACUUUCAACAACGGAUCUCUUGGUUCUGGCAUCGAUGAAGAACGCAGCGAAAUGCGAUAAGUAAUGUGAAUUGCAGAAUUCAGUGAAUCAUCGAAUCUUUGAACGCACAUUGCGCCCAUUAGUAUUCUAGUGGGCAUGCCUAUUCGAGCGUCAUUUCGACCUUUAAGCCCUGUGGCUUAGCGUUGGGAGUCCGCGUUUCAGCGGUUCCUCAAAGUCAUCGGCGGAGUUAUAGCACACUCUAAGCGUAGUAAUCUCACCUCUCGCUUCUGUGGUGGCUUUAACUGCCUGCCGUAAACCCCCUAUAUUUUUUUAAUGGUUGACCUCGGAUUAGGUAGGAAUACCCGCUGAACUUAAGCAUAUCAAUAAGCGGAGGAAAAGAAACCAACAGGGAUUGCCCUAGUAACGGCGAGUGAAGCGGCAACAGCUCAAAUUUGAAAUCUGGCCCUCGUGGUCCGAGUUGUAAUUUGCAGAGGAUGCUUUUGGUGCGGUGCCUUCCGAGUUCCCUGGAACGGGACGCCAGAGAGGGUGAGAGCCCCGUACGGUUGGACGCCUACCCUAUAUAUAGCUCCUUCGACGAGUCGAGUAGUUUGGGAAUGCUGCUCUAAAUGGGAGGUAAAUUUCUUCUAAAGCUAAAUACCGGCCAGAGACCGAUAGCGCACAAGUAGAGUGAUCGAAAGAUGAAAAGCACUUUGAAAAGAGGGUUAAAUAGCACGUGAAAUUGUUGAAAGGGAAGCGUUUGCGACCAGACCUUCUCUAGGCGGAUCAUCCGGUGUUCUCACCGGUGCACUUCGCCUGGUUUAGGCCAGCAUCGGUUUUCUUAGGGGGAUAAAGGCUCGGGGAACGUAGCUCUUUAGGGAGUGUUAUAGCCCCUUGCGUAAUACCUCUCGGGGGACCGA
rnacentral:rRNA from 1 species